GCCAGGCAUAGUGGCGUAUGCCUGUAAUCCCAGCUACUCGGGAGGCUGAGGCAUGAGAAUUGCUUGAACCCAGGAGGUAGAGGUUGCAGUGGACGAGACUGCACCACUGCACUCCAUCCUGGGAGACAGAGUGAGACCCUGUCUCAA
rnacentral:SRP_RNA from 1 species